rnacentral:ncRNA from 2 species
AAACACCGUGCGGGAGAGUCCUCGGUCCGUGAUGGAGCCGGGGCGCCGAAGGGGCAAACUCCCCGGAACCUCUCAGGCGCAAAGGACCGCACGGAUCAG